rnacentral:misc_RNA from 1 species
GAUGAAGAACGUAGCGAAAUGCGAUACUUGGUGUGAAUUGCAGAAUCCCGUGAACCAUCGAGUCUUUGAACGCAAGUUGCGCCCGAAGCCAUUAGGCCGAGGGCACGCCUGCCUGGGCGUCACACGUCGUUGCCCCCCCAUCUACUCCUUCGGGAUUGCGGGGGGCGGAUGAUGGCCUCCUGUGCGCCUCGUCGCGCGGUUGGCAUAAAUGCCAAGUCCUCGGCGACGCACGCCACGACAAUCGGUGGUUGCGAAACCUCGGUUGCCCGUCGUGUGCGGUCGUCGCGCAUCGAGGGCUCGAAAAAAUUGCCGGGCUCCGGCUCGGCUUUCAACGCGACCCCAGGUCAGGCGGGGUUACCCGCUGAAUUUAAGCAUAUCAAUAAGCGGAGGA